rnacentral:rRNA from 1 species
CUCUUUUCGUUUAUUUGGAAAGUAUAACCUGCCCACUGACUUAAGUUGAAGGGCCGCGGUAAUUUGACCGUGCAAAGGUAGCAUAAUCAUUAGUCUCUUAAUUAGAGGCUAGAAUGAAUGGUUGGACGAGAUAUAUACUGUCUUAUAAUUUGAUUUAGAAUUUAAUUUUUAAGUAAGAAAGCUUAAAUUUGAUUAUGGGACGAGAAGACCCUAUAGAGUUUAAUAAUUUUAUUUAUAUUAAAUGUUUGAUUAUUAUUUUAUAGUUUAAAAUUUUUUUGUUGGGGUGAUGGAAAGAUAAUAUAAACUCUUUUUUUUUGAUAUAUACUUAUUUGUAUAAUUUUGAUCCAUUAAUAAU